GAUGAACGCUGGCGGCGUGCUUAACACAUGCAAGUCGAACGAAGCACUUUAUUUGAUUUCCUUCGGGACUGAUUAUUUUGUGACUGAGUGGCGGACGGGUGAGUAACGCGUGGGUAACCUGCCUUGUACAGGGGGAUAACAGUUGGAAACGGCUGCUAAUACCGCAUAAGCGCACGGCAUCGCAUGAUGCAGUGUGAAAAACUCCGGUGGUAUAAGAUGGACCCGCGUUGGAUUAGCUAGUUGGUGAGGUAACGGCCCACCAAGGCAACGAUCCAUAGCCGACCCGAGCGGGGGAUCGGCAACACAGAAAAUGAGAGACGGUGCAGACGAAUACGAGAGGCAACAGUAGGGAAUCUUCAGCAAUGGGCGAAAGCGAGACGGAGCAAAGCUGCGUGAGUGAUGAAGGUCUUAGGAUCGUAAAACUAUGUUAUUAGGGAAGAACAAAUGUGUAAGUAACAAUGAAGGUCGUGACGGUAGCUAAUAAGAAAGCCACGGCUAACUACGUG
rnacentral:rRNA from 1 species